rnacentral:rRNA from 1 species
CAGUCGCCGCGGUAAUAUGUAGGUGGCAAGCGUUGUCCGGAAUUAUUGGGCGUAAAGGGCUCGCAGGCGGUUUCUUAAGUCUGAUGUGAAAGCCCCCGGCUCAACCGGGGAGGGUCAUUGGAAACUGGGAAACCUGAGUGCAGAAGAGGAGAGUGGAAUUCCACGUGUAGCGGUGAAAUGCGUAGAGAUGUGGAGGAACACCAGUGGCGAAGGCGACUCUCUGGUCCAUAACCGACGCUGAGGCGCGAAAGCGUGGGGAGCAAACAGGAUUAGAUACCCCCGUAGUCCCUGUCUCUUAUAC